UCCCUUGUGGCUCAGCUGGUAAAGAAUCUGCCUUCAGAGCAGAAGACCUGGGUUCGAUCCCUGGGUUGGGAA
rnacentral:tRNA from 1 species